rnacentral:rRNA from 1 species
CAAGGAAUUUUCGGCAAUGGGCGCAAGCCUGACCGAGCAACGCCGCGUGCAGGACGACGGCCUUCGGGUUGUAAACUGCUUUUGCUGGGGAAGACCAAGACGGUACCCGGCGAAUAAGCCCCGGCUAACUCCGUGCCAGCAGCCGCGGUAAGACGGAGGGGGCAAGCGUUGUCCGGACUCACUGGGCGUAAAGGGCGCGUAGGCGGUCUGCUGCGUCGGUGCUGAAAGGGUCUCGCUUAACGAGAUCAGGUGUGCCGAUACGAGCAGGCUAGAGGCAGAGAGAGGUUGGCGGAAUUCCGGGUGUAGUGGUGAAAUGCGUAGAGAUCCGGAGGAACGCCCGUGGCGCAAGCGGCCAACUGGCUCUGUUCUGACGCUGAGGCGCGACAGCGUGGGGAGCGAACCGG